rnacentral:rRNA from 1 species
UACAGAGGGUGCGAGCGUUAAUCGGAAGUACUGGGCGUAAAGCGUGCGUAGACGGUUUCGUAAGUCGGGUGUGAAAUCCCCGGGCUCAACCUGGGAAUUGCAUUCGAAACUGCGAGGCUAGGGUACGGAAGAGGGAAGCGGAAUUUCUGGUGUAGCGGUGAAAUGCGUAGAUAUCAGAAGGAACAUCAGUGGCGAAAGCGGCUUCCUGGUCCAGUACCGACGUUCAGGCACGAAAGCGUGGGGAGCAAACAGG